rnacentral:rRNA from 1 species
UGCAAGUCGAACGAAGUAGCAAUACUUAGUGGCAGACGGGUGAGUAACAUGUAGGUAUCUGCCCUUUGGCCUGGAAUAACACGAGGAAACUUGUGCUAAUACCGGAUAAGUCUUUACGGAGAAAGCUUUAUGCACCAUUGGAUGAGCCUGCACUUGAUUAGUUUGUUGGUGGGGUAAUGGCCUACCAAGACUGUGAUCAAUAGCUGAUUUGAGAGGAUGAUCAGCCACAUUGGGACUGAGACACGGCCCAAACUCCUACGGGAGGCAGCAGUGGGGAAUCUUGCACAAUGGAGGAAACUCUGAUGCAGCGAUGCCGCGUGAGUGAAGAAGGCCUUUGGGUUGUAAAGCUCUUUCGUCGGGGAAGAAAGUGACUGUACCCGAAUAAGAAGGUCCGGCUAACUUCGUGCCAGCAGCCGCGGUAAUACGAAGGGACCUAGCGUAGUUCGGAAUUACUGGGCUUAAAGAGUUCGUAGGUGGUUGAAAAAGUUAGUGGUGAAAUCCCAGAGCUUAACUCUGGAACUGCCAUUAAAACUUUUCAGCUAGAGUAUGAUAGAGGAAAGCAGAAUUUCUAGUGUAGAGGUGAAAUUCGUAGAUAUUAGAAAGAAUACCAAUUGCGAAGGCAGCUUUCUGGAUCAUUACUGACACUGAGGAACGAAAGCAUGGGUAGCGAAGAGGAUUAGAUACCCUCGUAGUCCAUGCCGUAAACGAUGUGUGUUAGACGUUGGAAAUUUAUUUUCAGUGUCGCAGCGAAAGCGAUAAACACACCGCCUGGGGAGUACGACCGCAAGGUUAAAACUCAAAUGAAUUGACGGGGACCCGCACAAGUAGUGGAGCAUGUGGUUUAAU